AAGAUAUCAUAUAUAAAUGUUUAUAGUUUCGACCUAUAUUAAGAAUAGUUUAUUCUCUUU
rnacentral:tRNA from 1 species